UACGAAGGGGGCUAGCGUUGCUCGGAAUCACUGGGCGUAAAGCGCACGUAGGCGGCUUGUUAAGUCGGGGGUGAAAUCCUGGAGCUCAACUCCAGAACUGCCCUUGAUACUGACGAGCUCGAGUCCGGGAGAGGUGAGUGGAACUGCGAGUGUAGAGGUGAAAUUCGUAGAUAUUCGCAAGAACACCAGUGGCGAAGGCGGCUCACUGGCCCGGUACUGACGCUGAGGUGCGAAAGCGUGGGGAGCAAACAGG
rnacentral:rRNA from 1 species